AGAUUUAGAGUGUAUCUUGUUCAUUGGAGAUUUUUGGAAGAUAGAUAUUCUGGGCGUGAUUACUGAAAGAUUAAGUGAGUUGAGAUUUUGGGCCAUUUUAUUGGAAAAUGGCAGCUCCUGUGCCUCCAGGGGCACCUCGGCAACAACCACCACCACCACCUAAUUAUAACCCUAAUUACCAGCAGAAUCCCAGUUCAUUAUCUGAUAAUUUGCAAAAUCUGAACCUUAAUCGGCCCCCUUCGAUGCCCAAUUCGGCUCCUAGGCCGUCACCAUUUCAACCGCCACAUUUUCCUUCCUCAGCCCCUUCGCCAUCAUUUUCCCGCCCUGGUCCACCGCCUCCUGGUGCAUUCCCUAGACCCUCGGUGCCUCCCUCAGGGUCCCCACCACCUGCAUUGCCCCCAAAUGUGGGUACAGUCAGACCCACGGGCCCGCCUUUUAGCCAGC
rnacentral:misc_RNA from 1 species